CGAACGGGUGAGUAACAUAUCGGAACGUGCCUAGUAAUGGGGAAUAACUAAUCGAAAGAUUAGCUAAUACCGCAUACGAUCUAUGGAUGAAAGCGGGGGACUCGUAAGGGCCUCGCGCGAUUGGAGCGGCUGAUAUCAGAUUAGGUAGUUGGUGGGGUAAAGGCCUACCAAGGCAACGACGGGUAGCUGGUUUGAGAGGAUGAUCAGCCACACUGGGACUGAGAUACGGCCCAGACUCC
rnacentral:rRNA from 1 species